rnacentral:lncRNA from 1 species
GUCUGUCUCCAAAAAAGGUUGGUGAUGACAUCACCAAGGCAACUAGUGACUGGAAGGGUCUGAGGAUUACAAUGAAACUGACCAUUCAGAACAGACCAGCCCAGAUUGAGGUGGUAACUUCUGCCUCUGUACUGACCAUCAAAGGCCUCAAGGAACUGCCAAGAGACUGAAAGAAACAGACGAACAUUAAACACAGUGGAAAUACCACUUUUGAUGAGACUGUCAACACUGACAGAUAGAUAUGGCAUCGAUCUUUAGCCUGAGAACUCUCCAGAAAUGUUAACGAGAUCCUGGGGACUGCCCAGUCUGUGGGCUGCAAUGGUGAUGGCCACCACUCUCAGGACAUCAUAGAUAACAUCAACAGUGGGACAGUGGAAUGCCCAACUAGUUAA